GUAGUUAGCCGGGGCUUUCUUACAGGGUACCGUCACUUCUUCGUCCCCUGCGACAGAGGUUUACAAUCCGAAAACCUUCUUCCCUCACGCGGCGUUGCUGGGUCAGGCUUGCGCCCAUUGCCCAAUAUUCCCCACUGCUGCCUCCCGUAGGAGUCUGGACCGUGUCUCAGUUCCAGUGUGGCCGAUCAGCCUCUCAGCUCGGCUACCCAUCGUCGGCUUGGUGGGCUGUUAUCUCACCAACUACCUAAUGGGACGCGAACCCCUCUAAAAGCGAUAAAUCUUUAGACCUCUUCCCGAUGCCGGGUUGUGGUCUUAUGCGGUAUUAGCAGUUGUUUCCACCUGUUAUUCCCCACUCUUAGGCAGGUUGUUCACGCGUUACUCACCCGUGCGCCACUAGAAUUAUCAAUUCCAUCCGAAAACUUCCUUAAUAAUCCCCGUUCGACUUGCAUGUGUUAGGCACGCCGCCAGCGUUCGUCCUCGAGCCAGAAUCGAACCCUGA
rnacentral:rRNA from 1 species